CUCUGUUCUCGUGUUUCAGCUGACCAAUUUUUUUUUUAAUUAAAUUGGACCUUUUACAUCUGACCAAGUCACCAGAUGUGAAAUAGUAACUUUAUUUAAUUUUUUUUUUUUUUCAAAAUCCUGCAUUUUUUUUUUAUAUUUUAAAUCUUAUUUUGUAAUUAAAAAAAACCAAAAUAGCAUUACAAUUCAACAUUCAACCAAAAUACCCUUACAUAAUAUAAUCAAAUGUCAUUAAAAUUCAACAUUCAUCCAAAAUACCAAAUGUCAUACAAUUCAACAUUCAAGCAAAAUAUCAAAUGUCAUUACAAUUCAAAACAUCAUAAUUAAUAUGAAUCCAUUGUAACAUCACACAAAUUAACCUAGCUAGCUCCUAAGCCUCAUCGGCAACAUCAUAAUCUACCUAAGGAUUAUAUAGGUCAAGAAAACAAGUUGCCCAACUGUUUCACAAUUCAUACAGCUCCUCCUCUGUUAAUGACGUCGGAUCAUCGAACACCUACAAUAUGUAAAUAUAUAUUUACUUAUAUAUACAUGACUAAAAUUCAUUACGUAUACAUGAUCAACUAAUUCGUAUAUAUAAAUUAACAUACAUUCAGGUAGUAUCAUACCACAUAAUCUAAAAUCGAACAAAAUGCAACACAAAGUGAGCUAAAGGCUGCUGCCUCGAGCGCCCCACGAAGGGUGUGGCGCGCCCGCACAAUUGGCAGCAUGCAACCUGCAUAAUUCUGCAGAAAAGAAACAAAGAAAAUAGUUCCCUUUAUGCAAAAAAAUGCAGCAAACCAGCCCUUCUUUUUAUGCAGAAAAUUAUAGCAAAAC
rnacentral:lncRNA from 1 species